CUAAGAAUCUUGCGCAAUGGGCGAAAGCCUGACGCAGCAAUUCCGCGUGGGGGACGAAGGCCCUCGGGUCGUAAACCCCUUUUGUGAGGGAAGAAGUUCUGACGGUACCUCACGAAUCAGACACGGCUAACUACGUGCCAGCAGCCGCGGUAAUACGUAGGUGUCAAGCGUUGUCCGGAUUUAUUGGGCGUAACGAGCCCGCAGGCGGCUUGUUAAGUUCGAGGUGAAAUCUCCCGGCUCAACUGGGAGGGUGCCUCGAAAACUAUCAGGCUUGAGGCAGGGAGAGGGAUGUGGAAUUCCCGGUGUAGUGGUGAAAUGCGUAGAUAUCGGGAGGAACCCCAGUGGCGAAGGCGGCAUCCUGGCCCUGUCCUGACCCUCAGGGGCGAAAGCGUGGGGAGCAAACC
rnacentral:rRNA from 1 species